GGUCGAGUAGUUCAGUGGUUUAGAACACGCCCGCCUUGUCUUCCUUCCCUCUCGAUUUUGGUUACUCAUGCUUUAACGGGCUUUACGUUACCUGAUGGUUGGUUGGGGCAACUGGGUGAGACCUGGGUUCGAUUCCUAGUUUGACCA